rnacentral:rRNA from 1 species
AAUACUCUGGCGACGACCUUGUGCACGGGUGCGUAACGCGUAUGCAACCUACCUGUAACAGGGGUAUAACGGAGAGAAAUUUCCACUAAUCCCCCAUAUUGUUAUUCUUUCGCGUGUUAGGAUAACGAAAGCUUCGGUGGUUACGGAUGGGCAUGCGUGACAUUAGCUAGUUGGUAAGGUAACGGCUUACCAAGGCGACGAUGUCUAGGGGAGCUGAGAGGCUUAUCCCCCACACUGGUACUGAGACACGGACCAGACUCCUACGGGAGGCAGCAGUGAGGAAUAUUGGUCAAUGGACGGAAGUCUGAACCAGCCAUGCCGCGUGGAGGAAGAAGGUCCUAUGGGUUGUAAACUCCUUUUGUUCGAGAGUAAUAAGAGGCUUGCGAGCCUCGAUGAGAGUAUCGGACGAGUAAGCAUCGGCUAACUCCGUGCCAGCAGCCGCGGUAAUACGGAGGAUGCAAGCGUUAUCCGGAUUUAUUGGGUUUAAAGGGUGCGCAGGCGGGCUGUUAAGUCAGCGGUGAAAUGUCCCGGCUCAACCGGGGCACUGCCGUUGAUACUGGCAGCCUAGAGUACAGACGGCGCCGGCGGAAUGUGUCAUGUAG